rnacentral:rRNA from 1 species
GAUCAUGGCUCAGAUUGAACGCUGGCGGCAGGCUUAACACAUGCAAGUCGAGCGGGGAAAUGUAGCUUGCUACAUUACCUAGCGGCGGACGGGUGAGUAAUGCUUAGGAAUCUGCCUAUUAGUGGGGGGACAACAUCUCGAAAGGGAUGCUAAUACCGCAUACGUCCUACGGGAGAAAGCAGGGGACCUUCGGGCCUUGCGCUAAUAGAUGAGCCUAAGUCGGAUUAGCUAGUUGGUGGGGUAAAGGCCUACCAAGGCGACGAUCUGUAGCGGGUCUGAGAGGAUGAUCCGCCACACUGGGACUGAGACACGGCCCAGACUCCUACGGGAGGCAGCAGUGGGGAAUAUUGGACAAUGGGGGGAACCCUGAUCCAGCCAUGCCGCGUGUGUGAAAAGAAGGCCUUUUGGUUGUAAAGCACUUUAAGCGAGGAGGAGGCUACCGAGAUUAAUACUCUUGGAUAGUGGACGUUACUCGCAGAAUAAGCACCGGCUAACUCUGUGCCAGCCGCCGC